GAGUUUGAUCAUGGCUCAGAUUGAACGCUGGCGGCAUGCCUUACACAUGCAAGUCGAACGGCAGCACGGGAGCUUGCUCCUGGUGGCGAGUGGCGAACGGGUGAGUAAUGCAUCGGAACGUAUCCUGGAGUGGGGGAUAACGUAGCGAAAGUUACGCUAAUACCGCAUAUUCUGUGAGCAGGAAAGCGGGGGACCUUCGGGCCUCGCGCUCUUGGAGCGGCCGAUGUCGGAUUAGCUAGUUGGUGAGGUAAAGGCUCACCAAGGCGACGAUCCGUAGCAGGUCUGAGAGGAUGAUCUGCCACACUGGAACUGAGACACGGUCCAGACUCCUACGGGAGGCAGCAGUGGGGAAUUUUGGACAAUGGGGGCAACCCUGAUCCAGCCAUGCCGCGUGAGUGAAGAAGGCCUCGGUUGUAA
rnacentral:rRNA from 8 species